UACGUAGGUGGCAAGCGUUGUCCGGAUUUAUUGGGCGUAAAGGGAGCGCAGGCGGUGACUUAAGUCUGAUGUGAAAGCCCACGGCUUAACCGUGGAGGGUCGUUGGAAACUGGUAGACUUGAGUGCAGAAGAGGGAAGUGGAAUUCCAUGUGUAGCGGUGAAAUGCGUAGAGAUAUGGAGGAACACCAGUGGCGAAGGCGGCUUCCUGGUCUGUAACUGACACUGAGGCGCGAAAGCGUGGGGAGCAAACAGGAUUAGAUACCCUGGUA
rnacentral:rRNA from 1 species